UGCUACUUUUUAUUUAAUGUGGUUGUGUUUAGCUAAGUGUGAAAAAUUAGAAAUGCCCAAGUAUGGAAUUUGAUAAAAUAAAGAUACAAUAGAACACUAUGUUGUCAUUUAAGGGAAUGGGGUAGUUCUCUAUAUGGAAUCACUUUCAAGAUAUAUAACUGGCCUUUAAUAGGCAAAGUACAGAAAAAUAUGUGUGGUGUGCUACUGUUUGUAUAUGCACAUACAUAUGCAUGUUCAGUAUGUUUCUAUGCAUUGUGUGACUGUGGAAAGACAUUCAAGGAAGUGCUAAUAGUGGUUUUCUCUGGGGAGAAGUUGGCUGGAAGACUGGAAGACUAUCCUGUUGUCCUAUAUAUAGUGUAUCAUAUUCGUCUAUUAUCUAUUCACAUUUUUAUAAGGCAGAAGGCAGAGCUAGUUUUAUAGAGAUGGGAAAGUACAAAAGACAUUGUUAUGUAUAAAGAACAAAUUACAGAAUAGUAUAAAUAGUAUAUGAUCUGGCUUUUGUAAAGUAAUCAUAAGUAUAUAGAUAUGUAUAUGUAUGGUGUACACAUACAUAUAUAAGAAUGCAUACCAAAGUGUUAAUAGGGGUACACUCAGGGGAGAAAGAAAAUGUGUGUUCAUUUUUUUUAUCCUAUGCACUAUUUUGUCUGACUGUUUUCAUACCAAGCACACCACACUUCAAUAUAUUAGAAAUAGUUCUUAAAACAUUAAUCAAACUGUACAUUAAACAAAACUUCCCAGACCAAUUUUUUGGUUCAGCUGCUCAAGUUGUAUCUCUCGGACCCAGCUCCAGUCUCUUUCUCAGUCUCCUCUUUGAGGCUUCCUGAGUCCCCUGUUCCUUUGCUCACUCUUUCCUCUAUUUCCCAGCAUCAACAGGGCUUAGAUAAGGUUGUCACUAAGAAAUCAUACUAACACUACUGUGUGUUGUCUGUCAACCACUUUCUUCUUAGGUCAAAUAAACUAAUUUUUUGGAGACAGGCUGGCCUUGAGCUCGAUAUGUAGCUGAGGAUGACCUUGAACUCCUGAUCCUCCUGCUUCCACACCCCAGGUGCUGGGAUUUUCGGUGUGACAUAACCAGGGCUUCACACGCCCUCGGUGAGCACUCUCCCAGCUGAGGUAUGUCCCCAGCCACCCCCAUUUUCUUUGUAAUUAAUCCAGCACGAUGUGGCCCCAACCUCCUUGUGCUCACUUUAGAGACUUCGAGUUGUUUAAGUGAAACUCCUGCCCCCAUCUCUUUAAGAAAGUACCCAUGUUUUCUGGAUCAUUUGUAUUAUCUCGUAAGUACAGUAUGUCUCCAGUCUCAAAGAACAAAACCCAAGAAGCCCUGUUCGCCUCCACACUUCUUCCAUAUCUGCUCCAUUUCUCCACACUUCUUUGCGGCAAUUCUUAAAAACCUUUCCCUUACUUCAUAAAGCCAUCUUGCCCUCGUUCAUUCUCAAUCUCACUCCUCUCAGAAUUUCAGCUGUGACCAAAUGUUCUCCCUAAUUCCUCUUUCCAAGGUCAUGGUAUUUACGUGCAAAAUCAGUGGUUCUCAUCUUCUCAAUUCAAUGAUUAAAUGCCUCCUUGACUUUCAAUUUUUUUUCAUUUUUCUUUAUUAAGACAUUUUCUACUCACUCCACAUACCAUUUACAGAUCCCUCUCCUUCCCCCUUGACUUUCAAUUUUCCUGUUACUCCUCUGCUCUCCUAGUCUCUUGGAUCUUCCCCUACGUUACAACGUCUCCUUCUUUACUAUCUUCACCUUGGAGUGUUGGCUUGCUCAUGACUCAGUUCUUGGAGACAUCUAUCUUCUUUCUUUAAACUCAUUUGUUAGUGAUAUUAGAUAGCCCUUAACUUUGAAUAACAUCACCAUGCUGAAAUCUGCUCAAACUCCAUUUUGUACCUAGACUUACAGAUUCAUUGUCUUUUUGACACUGACAGCACUAUUUUACUUUGUAAUAGUCAUCUCAAACCCAAUGAGUCCAGAAUAAACAGAACCACCCGUCUCUUCCCAUCCUCUUCAUGUCGAUAAAUGACAACUCCAUUGGUGCUCUCCUGUCUAAAUAUAUCCUGAAUUUGAUUACCUUCUUUAGCUCUGUCUCUGAAACCCUAGUCCAGCAUCACACCAGUCACCUGACUUGGAACAAUAUAGACUUUUAUCAAACUUAUCUAAAAAUCUGUGUGUAUAUAAAUUACAGUGUAUCAUUGCUUUGCACAACAUUCUCAAAUGGCUUCUGUCACACUCAGCAUAAAAAUCUAAAGUCCUUUCCAUGAACUGUAAGGCUUGCAAUGCCUCUUAGACCCACCCUUUAUCUCUGAACUCACUUCAUCCUUUCCCCCUUCACUGUUUUCAUGUCACAGUGACCCGGCUGCUUUUGGAACAUGCUCGCCUUAGAACCCUUGUACUUACACUAUCUGCCAGGAACACUCUUCUUGGCUUGCUCUUUUCCUUUAUCCUGCCCAUGGGUCACCUUAUCAGAAAAUCUUCCUUGAGCAAAGAGUCUGGAGCACGAGGCUGUCUCAGUCGGCCCCUUUACCCAGCUUUAUUUUCAGCAUCACCUGAUAUGCUGCCUACGAACUUGACUAAUAUUUGCUUAUGAUUUAUCUGCCCUAGAAUACACAAAACAGCCAUUUUGUCUCAUUUAAUACAUCUCUAACAUUCAGAAGAAAAAGAUUGUUAUAGAGUAGCUUACAAGAAUUUUCUGAGUUUUCAAAAGAGAUGGCAAGAAGUUCUCUUUAGCAUAUUCUCAUUACAUGAAAUUCUUAAGACAGUUUAUUUCUCCAUUAAAAGUUUCUCCUGUCUAUAAGUUAAAAACAAAACAACAACAAAAAACCUGUUUCAACCUUUUCUUUAGAAACUAUUAUAGACUCACAAAUAUUUGCAAAAGUAGUAUAAAUAACUCCAUGUAUUCUUUACCCAUUGUUUCCCAGGUUGUCUUCUUUAACUGUCCUUUUGAUUUUCUGAACCCUAGUUUCUCCAGUCUUUUAUGAUUUUUUUUACACAGAUUCCAAGGAUCUUCCUACUGCCUCUUGAAAACCUAGGAACUCACUCAUACCAGCAAGCUCUGUGCUAUGGAGCUACCUCCUGACCCAGUUCCAAUUCUUAUUUUGUUGGUGGGUUUUCUUCUAUACCAGAUUCAAAUUCCUAUGCCAAGAUGAUGUAUUAUGUACGGAAGGGAAAGGAUAUGUUAAUUAAAUGGCAAAAUAGGUUUAACCCAGUUUUUUAAUACUAAAAAAAGAAAAGAAGAGGAAGACUUCCAUCUUUGAAGUGCACUGUCCUACAGAGAGGUACACGCUUCUGUAGAUUUUGCAUACCAGCUUGCUUGCCGUGAUUUCUAGAGACUGGCAAUUUUUAGGCUUUCCUGUGAUUUAUCUCUUAUAGGAAGAGUUGAAUACAAAUAAAUCUAUGUUUUUAAAUGUAUGUUUGUAUUUUUAGUCACUUAUUUUGUUGAGUUCUUGCCAUUCACUUAUUCACCAAACAUUUUGUAUUUCAACUGUGUAAUAUUGUCUCUUAUCCCCAAGUGGAUCUGGAAUGAACAUCACCUUUAAAUCAUUACAAGUACCGAAAGAUUGAAAAACUCCCAUUGUCCAGCUCAGAGAAUGGAAAACCCCAUGCAGUAUACAUGGCUUCAGUGAGUCUCAUGUAUUCUGGGCUGAGAUUCUUAAUGUCUCUGGAAUUGCUCCUGGGAUAUGAGUAACUGGAAAGAGAAUCUGGGUGGCCUUCUCAAGGAUGAUCUCUGCUAAAACUAGCUAAUCUUCUUGAUUCACAAGCAAAGAUGCUCUUGAGUCGCCGAGUUGAGCCAGGCUGCUGAAGCUGCAGGUUUCUGCAGCUCCCUUCUUGGCCGAUGAAGGAGGAGCCUGGACACUGGUUCAUUAUUACAUCUUGGAAAGUCGGUCAUAACUUUCCUUCUUCAAAGCUUUGUCCUUACAGUACUAAGUGUAAAAGAAAAACAAUAAUGUAAAAAAAAAGUUUUUCAAAAUGUGGAAUCAUGGAAACAAAACAAGUUGUGAAAAGAUAAAAACCUAGUCUCCCCCACCCCCAACCCCCAAGGGGCAUUGAUUGUUUUUACUGUUAAUUGUUUUGCUAUUUUUGUAAUUCAUUGAUAAACUAUGGAAAUUUCUGUUGUUUUCUGUCUUAGCAAAAAUAGUUUCUGUGAGACUAAGCAAUUUUUUUUUUGUAAAACAUUGUAUUUAGGAUAAUAGAUGUAUAAUGACUUUAUCAUUUUGUUUGUAGCUUGUUUGAAAAAUUAAAUUGACUGAGACAAA